rnacentral:rRNA from 1 species
UGGGGAAUUUUGGACAAUGGGCGAAAGCCUGAUCCAGCAAUGCCGCGUGUGUGAAGAAGGCCUUCGGGUUGUAAAGCACUUUUGUCCGGAAAGAAAUCCUUGGCUCUAAUACAGUCGGGGGAUGACGGUACCGGAAGAAUAAGCACCGGCUAACUACGUGCCAGCAGCCGCGGUAAUACGUAGGGUGCAAGCGUUAAUCGGAAUUACUGGGCGUAAAGCGUGCGCAGGCGGUUUGCUAAGACCGAUGUGAAAUCCCCGGGCUCAACCUGGGAGCUGCAUUGGUGACUGGCAGGCUAGAGUAUGGCAGAGGGGGGUAGAAUUCCACGUGUAGCAGUGAAAUGCGUAGAGAUGUGGAGGAAUACCGAUGGCGAAGGCAGCCCCCUGGGCCAAUACUGACGCUCAUGCACGAAAGCGUGGGGAGCAAACAGGAUUAGAUACCCUGGUAGUCCACGCCCUAAACGAUGUCAACUAGUUGUUGGGGACUUCAUUUUCCUUAGUAACGUAGCUAACGCGUGAAGUUGACCGCCUGGGGAGUACGGUCGCAAGAUUAAAACUU